GGGAAGGUGGCUCAGUGGUAGAGCACUUGCCUUGCAUGCAUGAGGCCCUGGGUUCAAUUCCUCACCACCACA
rfam:Dipodomys ordii contig_16594, whole genome shotgun sequence.